UACAGAGGUCUCAAGCGUUGUUCGGAUUCAUUGGGCGUAAAGGGCGCGUAGGCUGCGGGGUAAGUCGGGUGUGAAAUCUCAAGGGCUCAACCCUGAAACUGCACUCGAUACUGCUCUGCUUGAGGACUGGAGAGGAGACUGGAAUUCACGGUGUAGCAGUGAAAUGACGUAGAUAUCGUGAGGAAGACCAGUGGCGAAGGCGGGUCUCUGGACAGUUCCUGACGCUGAGGCACGAAGGCCAGGGAG
rnacentral:rRNA from 1 species